rnacentral:ncRNA from 1 species
UACUUUGUCCAAAAGUAAUCCAUCAUUUUAGACAGUACGUGAUUAAAAGACCCAUCGUGACACGUUACUCCUCCUUCGGUCUUUUGUGCUGAGGGUCUCCUUCUCAUUCUUUGAAUUUAUCUGACAGUUUUUGUCAUGGUUAUUCAUUGUGAUGGAUUGAGAUCCAGUGGGGGGUUUUGUCGUUAUGAAGGGACUACUGCUUCUGUUUUAAUUCAAUUCGUGAUUGUUGAUGGAGAGAUGAAAAUUAUGUCAAUAAGAACCCGUCUGGAUCUGUAAAGAGCUGAAAGAGGGGUGUCAGAUGAUAUAGAUAUUC